CUAUAUAUACCCUGUAGAACCGAAUUUGUGUGAUGGCGUCAAAGUCACAGAUUCGAUUCUAGGGGAGUAUAUGGG
rfam:Takifugu rubripes chromosome, Chr_1